rnacentral:lncRNA from 1 species
CAAUUUUACCUGAAGUAAACUAUAUGACCCUUAACUGAACUGGACUAAUUAAAGUUUUGUAGUGUAAUCCCUAACAUAACCACUAAAAUAUAAUGCAAGCAUAUCAUACAUUUAAAAAAAGAAGUAAAUGAGUUAAAAUGAAUACUAAAAACUAUUUUAAUAAUACUGAGAAAUAUUGUCAUUUGACUUAAACUGUAGUCAAGUUCCACUGAGUUAAGUUCCACAACCUUGGCCUCUGCUCCGUCCUAGUGGAAUCCAGUUUGAGAAAAAGUUAUACCAAGUCGUUUUAGGGAAAAUCUCCCAUCCUUGCUAUCUGAUUAUCUUCUGCUGUUUUGUCACAGUGGUCUGCCUUAAACAGGAACCGUACCCAAGUCAUUUUAGCUAAAAACCCCUUAUCCUUGAUGCUUCCUUUUAAUAAUUUUACACCCCCUGACCCCUAUCAUCCUCCAUGGUUAUAAAUCCCCAUGUGUUCUUGUUGAAGUCAAAGUUGAAUCUGAUCUCUGUCCUCCACUGCAAGACCCCAAUGCAGUAAAGCCUAUAUGUACCUUUUGCCAUGGCCUCCUUUGAAAGACUUCAGCCCUACUUAUUUUUCCUCCAAUACUGGGGAUCAAACCCAGCAACUUACACAUUCUAGACAAGUACUCCACCACUACCUUCCCAGUCCUUUCUUAAAUUUUGAGACAGAGUCUUGCUGAGUGGCCAAGGCUGGCUUCAAACUUGCAAUCCUUCUUCAGCCUCCUGAGUAGCUGGGAUUAUAUGGAUAUGCCACUGUGCC